GACAGAGGGGGCAAGCGUUGCUCGGAAUUACUGGGCGUAAAGGGCGCGUAGGCGGGAUGGCAAGUCGGUCGUGAAAUCCUUCGGCUCAACCGAAGAACGUCGAUCGAUACUGCUGUUCUUGAGGGUUGCAGAGGAGACUGGAAUUCCCGGUGUAGCGGUGAAAUGUGUAGAGAUCAGGAGGAACACCGGUGGCGAAGGCGGUUCUCUGGGCAUUACCUGACGCUGAGGAGCGAAAGCAUGGGGAGCGAACAGG
rnacentral:rRNA from 1 species